AUGGGCUCCUCGCUCCCGGCCAAGGAGGCCAACCUUUUCAAAGUCAUCGUCAAAUCAUAUGAAACUAAGCAGUAUAAGAAAGGGCUGAAGGCUGCAGAUUCCAUAUUAAAGAAGUUUCCCGAACAUGGAGAAACUUUAUCGAUGAAAGGUUUGACACUAAAUUGUAUGGAUCGGAAAUCUGAAGCAUACGAGCUUGUUCGCCGUGGCUUGAAGAAUGAUCUGAAGAGUCAUGUGUGCUGGCAUGUGUAUGGUUUACUUUACAGAUCAGAUAGAGAAUACAGAGAAGCUAUAAAAUGUUACAGAAAUGCUUUGAGGAUCGAUCCAGACAAUAUUGAAAUUUUGCGUGACUUGUCACUUCUCCAGGCGCAAAUGAGGGACUUGUCUGGCUUUGUUGAGACUAGACAACAGCUUCUGACAUUAAAGCCAAACCACCGCAUGAACUGGAUUGGCUUUGCCGUAUCUCAUCAUUUGAGUUCCAACUCUUCAAAGGCAAUAGAAGUUCUGGAGGCAUAUGAGGGGACACUGGAAGAUGAUUAUCCCCCAGAAAACGAGCGAUAUGAACAUGGUGAAAUGCUUUUGUAUAAGAUAUCGUUGCUUGAGGAAUGUGGGAUGCUGGACAGAGCCCUUCAGGAGAUGCACAAGAUGGAGAGUAAAAUUGUUGAUAAGCUCUCAUUCAGAGAACAAAUGGCCUGCAUUUUGUUGAAACUUAGCCGUUUUGAGGAGGCAGAGAAAAUAUAUAGGUCCCUCCUUUUUAUGAAUCCUGAUAACUACAAGUACCUCAUAGCUGUGCAGAAGUGCCUUGGCCUAUACUCUGAAAAUGGUCAAUAUUCCGCUGAUGAUGUUGAACGAUUAAGUGCAUUAUAUAAAUCACUCAAGGAAGAAUAUAGUUGGUCAUCGGCUGUUAAGCGCAUACCUCUUGAUUUCCUAGAAGGUGAGAAAUUCCACGAGGCAGCAGAUAACUAUGUCAGACCUCUAUUAACCAAGGGAGUGCCGUCACUUUUCUCUGAUUUAAGCCCGCUUUAUGAGCAUCCUGGCAAGGCAAACAUAUUGGAGCAAUUAUUUCUUAAGCUAGAAGAUUCAAUUAGGACUUCUGGAUGCUUUCCUGGAAGUUUGCAGAUGGAACCUCCAUCCACACUCAUGUGGACUCUGCUGUUGGUUUCUCAGCACUAUGACAGAAGGAGCCAGUAUGAUAUUGCUCUGGAUAAAAUUGACGAGGCCAUUUUACACACGCCAACUGUCAUUGAUUUGUACUCCAUAAAGGGGAAUAUUUUGCAACAUGCUGGCAAUUUUUCUGCAGCAGCAGCAUUAGCAGAUGAAGCUAGGUCCAUGGACCUUGCUGAUCGUUAUUUAAACAGCGAGUGUGUAAUGCAGAUGCUUCAAGCCGAUCAGGUCGGGCUAGCUGAGAAGACUGCUGUCUUGUUUACAAAAGAUGGAGAUCAGCACAAUAAUCUCCAUGACAUGCAGUGCAUGUGGUAUGAACUUGCUUCUGGCGAGAGUUAUUUUCGUCAAGGUGAUCUUGGCCGGGCUCUGAAAAAUUUCUUGGCUGUUGAAAAGCAUUACACUGAUAUGACUGAAGAUCAGUUUGACUUCCAUUCAUAUUGCUUACGGAAGAUGACACUUCGGGCGUAUGUUUCUAUGCUGAAGUUUCAAAACCGUUUGCAUGCUCAUGAAUACUUUCACAAGGCUGCUGCAGGGGCUAUCAGGUGUUACAUGAAAUUACAUGAUUCUCCAUUAAAAUCAUCUGCUGAGGAGGAUGAUGAGUUGUCAAAACUGCCAGCUGCCCAGCGGAAGAAGUUGAGGCAAAAACAGAAGAAGGCAGAAGCUCGAGCUAAAAGGGAGGCUGAAGAGAAACAAGAGGAUGAAACAACUUCAACCAACAGUUCGAAAUCUGGGAAGAAACAACAAGCAAGGCCAGUUGAUUUGGACCCACACGGUGAAAAAUUGGUCCAGGUUGAAGAUCCACUUGCAGAAGCCACAAAAUAUUUGAAGCUUCUGCAGAAUAACUCGUCAGAUUCAUUAGAAACUCAUAUACUUUCAUUUGAACUUAACAUGAGAAAGCAAAAGGUUUUACUCGCUUUUCAGGCGGUCAAACAGCUCAUUAAAUUGGACGAAAAUAAUCCAGACAGUCACCGAAGUUUGAUAAGAUUCUUCCAUAGGAUAAACAAUCUUCCGGCCCCAGGAACUGAUUCUGAGAAAUUAAUAUGGAGCGUUCUGGAAGCUGAACGGCCAGAUCUAAGGCAAUUACACGGGAAAUCUCUUGUUGAAGUAAAUAUAAACUUCCUUGAAAAGCACAACGCUUCUUUGACACACAGAGCAGCUGCAGCUGAAAUGAUGUACCUCUUGGAGCCGGAUAAGAAGCUGCAGGCGAUUAAAUUAAUUGAAGACUCAACAAAUAACACAGCGUCAGGAAAUGGUGUGCUUGGUCCCAUCAAGGAAUGGGGCAUUCAAGAUUGUAUUGAUGUAAAUAAAUUGCUGGAUACUGUUUUUGCUGAUCAUGAUGUUGCAAACAGGUGGAAGGUACGCUGUGCUGAAUAUUUUCCAUGCUCAACCUACUUCGAAGGUGUGAAAAGUGCUAUUACUGCACAUAUUCCCGGCAGUACUUCCGAGAGUUCACCAGAAAAUGGAGAUGUACCAAGCCCACAAGCAAAACUUGAGGGAGACGCACACAGUUUGAAUGGGACCGUGCGUGUUGUGGAUGAUCUGAGCAACCUUAGCAUGAGUGAUUAA
rnacentral:rRNA from 1 species